rnacentral:rRNA from 1 species
CCUACGGGUGGCAGCAGUGGGGAAUAUUGGGCAAUGGGCGCAAGCCUGACCCAGCAACGCCGCGUGAAGGAAGAAGGCUUUCGGGUUGUAAACUUCUUUUGUCAGGGACGAAGCAAGUGACGGUACCUGACGAAUAAGCCACGGCUAACUACGUGCCAGCAGCCGCGGUAAUACGUAGGUGGCAAGCGUUAUCCGGAUUUAUUGGGUGUAAAGGGCGUGUAGGCGGGAAUGCAAGUCAGAUGUGAAAACUAUGGGCUCAACGUGGGAACUGCCUUUGAAACUGGCAAACUGGAGUGUGUGAGAGGAUAGUGGAAUUCCAGGUGUAGGAGUGAAAGCCGUAGAUAUCUGGAGGAACAUCAGUGGCGAAGGCGACUAUCUGGCACAUAACUGACGCUGAGGAGCGAAAGCGUGGGUAGCAAACAGGAUUAGAUACCCCUGUAGUC